UGAAGGAUCGGAGCGGGGAGCUGCGCGCUGCUCUGCUUGUGUCGUGUCCUCCAAAGCUUGAGGAGAGCUGAUGCUGAGGGUGCUGCAUUAUAAAGAGCCAUCAGCUGCUGCGGAUGGGGGAAGAGCCUGAAGCUCUGCUCAAUGUGCAAGGGCUCUGCUGUCCUGCCUCAGCAGGGCUCCAUGGCCAGGGUGCUGCAGGGCCAGGAUGAGAUGGUGCGUGCGUGCAGGACGGUGAGCGUCCCACGCUGCUUCAUCCUGCCUGGGAGGUGGUGGCUCAGUCUGGGUGAGAUGUCGGGAUUUCCGGGGUGUGAGACAGGUCCAAAUGGUAAAAUAAUUACGAACUAUGUUUUGAGAGAAAGUGGGAGGAGAUGAGGGAGUUGUGCAGGUGUCGUAGGAUGACAGAGUGGUUUGGUUUGGAAGGGACCUUCAAAGAUGAUCCAGUCCAACCCCCCCUGCCAUGGGCAGGGACAUCUCCCACUGGAUCAGGUUGCUCAAAGCCCUGUCCAACCUGACCUCGAACACUUCCAGGGACGGGGCAGCCACAGCUUCUCUGGGUGACCUCUGCCAGUGUCUCACCACCCUCAUCGUACAACAUUUCUUCCCUAUGUCCAACCUAACCCUACCGUUGCUCAGUUUAAAACUGUUGUCUUGUGCUGGGGGCCCCAGAGCUGGAUGCAGUGCUCCAGGGGGGUCUGAGGAGAGUGGAGCAGAGGGGUAGCAUCCCCUCCCUCAACCUGCUGGCAAUGCUGCUGGUGAUGCAGCCCCAUAUGUCUUUUUAUGUGACGCUGGCAGAGGAUGCGGUGGUAUCUGGGAGGUGGUGGUGUGAACCCGGAGGCACCCCACUGCCAUUCCUGCAGAAGGCCAUAGGCAUGGCCCUUCUCUACUGCACUUCUCCAUUACCUGCUCCACACUACUGUGUUUGAAAGCCAGCAGGUCACGUCAGGAAGAAAGUUUCUUCAAGACCUCAAAUCUGCAGGACUGUUGCUGACCCUGUGCAAGCAGCUCCAGGUGACUGGCUUAACCAGACAUCCUUGACUGUGGGCUGUGAUAAGAAACCCACUGUGAAUCCCCUGUAAUUUUGAUGCUCACCUUUUCUUGAGCUGCCUCUGCAUGUUGUCUAGUUCAAGUUUUGUAAACAGAUGUUUUAUCUGCUUUUCUUUAACCUGCCUUGAAUACAAGCAGAUCCUAAGUGCUCAGGUCCCAUAUCAGAGAUGUCCUGAAACAACUUUCAGCCUCCUUCAGUGUGAUACACUGAGUAUUUCCAGUGGAGGUGCAAGAGAGAGCCCUGUACAGCCACUCUCCUCUGGCAGGAGGGUCUCUUCCUCCAUCACCUUUGCAGGAGCUGUAGAAGUAGUGAGUGGAGCCCAGGACAUCUGCUGACUGCUGGCCAAAAACUGUCCUUGGGGGCAUCCAGAGGAGAAUAGGAAGUCCUUCUGCUGCAGCAGCAGCAGAGGGGUCAGGCUAAGGAAAAGCUUCCCGUCAGUCACCAAGGGUACCAGCACUGCCCAUGGGGAGAGGUCAUCCAGGUCCCUUUGAGGUUGAGGCCAAUGGUGUGUGUGUGUGUCUGCAUUCGAGACUUUGCUGUUGCACAAAGCCUCCUUGGCCUGUUUCACAGCCUUGUCGAGACCUGUUGUAGAGAAGUGGCUUGUCCCUGCUGCUGUUGGACAGCCGUUGCAGGACCAGAGUCAUCAAAUUGUUGAAUGGUUUGCAUUGGAAAGGACCUUCAAAGAUCAUCUAGUCCAACCCCAUUGCCAUGGGCAGGGACAUCUUCCGCUAGAUUGGGUCCUGACUGGGUUGUAAAAUUCAAAAUCUCCUGCGUAAAUUAUUUGUGUGCGUUUGUUCUUAGGCCAGUGUUCUCCGUCCACUGGAGAAGUUCCUCCUCCCUGUUCCCUGCUCCUCUGGUGUCCACCAGCACCUCGGUAUUCACCACCAGGCACAGGGAACAAACCUGGGCUGCAUAGUUGCAAAAUCUGCUGCAAGAUGGGACUGAACUUUCUGUUAAUAGUACGAUAUUUAAGUUUCUAGUGAAUACUUACAGACCUGGGUUUCUUUUCAUGGGAACUAACUAAAAAAUAAUUAAAAGUAGAAUCUUCUACUCACGUUGACCUGUGAGUUUUCAGAAGCUCACUGCCAGCCGUGGCCACUUCUCAUCAUGCAGUACUUCUGUUUUGAUGUCUACUGCAGAUUUUCUAGUAUUAAGUCUUCCUUUUUAUCUGCCAUUGCUUUCAGACCCUCCAUCAAGUCCUGUCAGACAGGGUUUGUGGUGUAUGAAAUGAUUGUUCGUUUUGGUUUUCCAGAAGACAUUUGCCUCCUGGAAGGGUUGGUGUCUCACCUGGAUGGUACUAAGAUUCCUUUAUAUGGUCUAGGCAAGAGCACCAAAGAAAUGUCAUUCCCAUGUUUGAGCAUUCAUGACCAUCUGAGUAACUUGGUCUAGUGGAAGAUGUCCCUGCCCAUGGCAGGGGGGUUGGACCGGAGGGUCUUUGAAGGUCCUUUCCAAACCAACAUAUUCCAUGAGUGUCUGUAGGCAGUGUAGUCUGAUUUAAAGGAUAACCAUUUUAUGGACUGCCUUGAUUUUCAUGUGUUGAUCCUCUCCUGGUGACACAGGCCGUGGGAGCUGUGGUGCUGCCUGCCUUGCCCCCUCUGCCUGAGGCUUUCCUUCUCUUUUUGCUGGCAGCUUCCUGGUGCAGACCUCGUGGUCGCUGGUGGGCAUCGUCAGCGCUUAGUGUUAGUCGUAGAACACUUGGUAGACACCAAAGCAUAGUGGUGAUCCUGGCAGAAACCUCUCUGAGUGCUGACCCUGGCAAAUACGCAAUGGGGUGGAGAGGGGAGAUGAGUGCCAUGGCUGCAGGUGCUUCUGCUGCCCGUACAAAGCUCUGGUCUGCACAGAAGCUGUAACAAGGAUGGUGCCACCAUCAGAAGGAUGUUAAGAAAUUAAUUUCAGAUUAAUUAAGUCUGUCUACUGUUUUUCACCCAAAUUAUUCUUUAGCCAUGAUUGCAAAUUUGUAAAGUAUUGACUGUAAAGUAUUGAUGCCUUUGCAGUAGAUCAUAGUACUGUCCAUGUUCUAGAGCUACAGGAGGAGGUCAGUGAGCUAAACUGCUUGCCCUGUGCAGGACUGCUGGCACCUCUGUCACCUCUGACAUUUGUUCUUAAUAGUUAAGUGGAAUUUUACAUGCCUGCUUCUAAAACUGAGUUUAAGAGUUAACCACAGCUCUGAUAACAGGGUUGGGCUUCGUACCAAAGGCUGGUAGCGUAACUCUGCAGCACUGAAAGCCAACACCUAAAAACACCUAAAACUCUUUGAAAUCUUGUUCUCCCUUGCACUGCUAGUGUUAGAAAUUGGAAACGCCUACUGACUCAUGCAGAUGUUGCUGAAUGCUAAAGUCACUUGUACCUUGAACUUUUAUUCAUCAAAAAGUUGGUAGUGGGAAGUAUGGGCUGGGUUUGGUGAAUAUUAGAAUUGCACAUAGCUGAAUUGAGGCCUGUGUGCUAUAAAAUACUCAGUUUAUUAUGCUGCAUAGCUGUAUUAUAGAUAUAGUCUGCAAAAAAUGCUAAGACUGAGGCUGUAGGUAAUUUACGCCAUGGUCUCAGGUGGUUCAGCUCUCCAGGGCGCUCUCCUGGGAGCAGACCCUCCAUCUGUCCUCAUCCUCAGCCUUGACACCACCUCCCUGAAAACCCUCUGGAGCGGGACUUCUGCCUCUGGACUCCUGAGGAAAGACUUAGUUUGGCUGCUGCAAAACACUAAAGCAAACCCUAAGGCUUUUUAAGAUGGCCAAGAAGAGAUCAUCCUUCUUAGCAAUGUGCACAGCCACAUGCCGGAGCCGUGGGGAACGAGCUGCCGCAGGAGCUCUCGGGUGCUGAUGGCAAUGCCCUGGGCUCAUGGACUUGGACACGGGGAGCAAAAUGACUGAUGUUGGACCCCCAUGUGCUGCUCCAGGUGGGGAUGCGGUCCUGGCCAUGACCCACUGCUGCUCAGAGAGCAUCCCUGCACUGAGCAGCCUUGUGUUGUGCAUCCCAUGGGGCACUUUUCUUUUAGUACAGAAAGGGCAUUUGUUUGCUUUCUCCUGGCAGAGAUGGCUAAAAAAUUUAUAUUAAGUGCAUCACCAAGAUGGAAUAAAGGUUAAAUAUAGUCUCUGUUUGCUAGAGUUUCUAAACAUGGACAGAGAGCUGAAGCGUGCAAGUUAAAGCUGAUGAUCUUUAAUGCUUUCCCAGUCCUUUCUGAAUUGAUCAAGGGCUGCUAUGGAACUUUUGUUUACAGUUUUAUGUGCUGUGUAGUGAUGAGAGAAACAGGGAAAACAUUGGCAUAGUAAAAGCGAAAUCAGCCUCUUAAUCUAGGCUAGUAUCCUUUUAUGGGACAGUGGAUUAGUGUAUUAGCAGAGGCUGAAAUUUUAGAGAUACUCGGGUGCCUAAAAAUUCAGAUAAAAGCCUAAUGAGAUUUUUCAGAAAUGCAGUUUUUGGCUCGUAGUGUCCUCUGAAAUUCCUGUUAGGAGCCAAUCUGCGUGCUUAAGCACCCAGCUACCUUAAAUAUCUAGCUCUUGGUGCCUAAACACAGCAUAGCUACUUUCUCUCUCCUUCAAGGCACCUGCUAAAGAAGAAUGCAUCCAGAAGCCACAUGUAAUCUACAUGGCCUCCUCAACCCAGCAAGAUUUGUAGAGCUCUGAUAAAUUUGGGGGGAACAAGAGGGGAUUUAAAAAUGCUGGGGAAAGGGAAUUAUGUAAAUACUUAAUCUCUUGAGCCCAUGACAGUGCACUUUGCUUUGGCAUUAGGUCAACGCUGGUUUUGAGAAUAUGGCCUGCUGUCACUUUCAAGUGGCAAGAAGACAUUGAUACACACCUGUGUGCCACCUUCUGGGUGAAAGCCUGUAUUCUGAUGAAGUAAUGGGGAAUACCCACCUUUAAGAUCAGAAACAGCUUUUGCCGCCGAAGAAAGAGACUGACUCAGUUGCAUUCUCAAGUCUGAAAAUUCCAAAUUUCCAUGCAAGCAUAUAUUCAAAAACUG